rnacentral:rRNA from 1 species
AAAUUGAAGAGUUUGAUCAUGGCUCAGAUUGAACGCUGGCGGCAGGCCUAACACAUGCAAGUCGAACGGUAGCACAGAGAGCUUGCUCUCGGGUGACGAGUGGCGGACGGGUGAGUAAUGUCUGGGAAACUGCCUGAUGGAGGGGGAUAACUACUGGAAACGGUAGCUAAUACCGCAUAACGUCGCAAGACCAAAGAGGGGGACCUUCGGGCCUCUUGCCAUCAGAUGUGCCCAGAUGGGAUUAGCUAGUAGGUGGGGUAAUGGCUCACCUAGGCGACGAUCCCUAGCUGGUCUGAGAGGAUGACCAGCCACACUGGAACUGAGACACGGUCCAGACUCCUACGGGAGGCAGCAGUGGGGAAUAUUGCACAAUGGGCGCAAGCCUGAUGCAGCCAUGCCGCGUGUAUGAAGAAGGCCUUCGGGUUGUAAAGUACUUUCAGCGGGGAGGAAGGUGUUGUGGUUAAUAACCACAGCAAUUGACGUUACCCGCAGAAGAAGCACCGGCUAACUCCGUGCCAGCAGCCGCGGUAAUACGGAGGGUGCAAGCGUUAAUCGGAAUUACUGGGCGUAAAGCGCACGCAGGCGGUCUGUCAAGUCGGAUGUGAAAUCCCCGGGCUCAACCUGGGAACUGCAUUCGAAACUGGCAGGCUAGAGUCUUGUAGAGGGGGGUAGAAUUCCAGGUGUAGCGGUGAAAUGCGUAGAGAUCUGGAGGAAUACCGGUGGCGAAGGCGGCCCCCUGGACAAAGACUGACGCUCAGGUGCGAAAGCGUGGGGAGCAAACAGGAUUAGAUACCCUGGUAGUCCACGCCGUAAACGAUGUCGACUUGGAGGUUGUUCCCUUGAGGAGUGGCUUCCGGAGCUAACGCGUUAAGUCGACCGCCUGGGGAGUACGGCCGCAAGGUUAAAACUCAAAUGAAUUGACGGGGGCCCGCACAAGCGGUGGAGCAUGUGGUUUAAUUCGAUGCAACGCGAAGAACCUUACCUACUCUUGACAUCCAGAGAACUUAGCAGAGAUGCUUUGGUGCCUUCGGGAACUCUGAGACAGGUGCUGCAUGGCUGUCGUCAGCUCGUGUUGUGAAAUGUUGGGUUAAGUCCCGCAACGAGCGCAACCCUUAUCCUUUGUUGCCAGCGGUCCGGCCGGGAACUCAAAGGAGACUGCCAGUGAUAAACUGGAGGAAGGUGGGGAUGACGUCAAGUCAUCAUGGCCCUUACGAGUAGGGCUACACACGUGCUACAAUGGCGCAUACAAAGAGAAGCGACCUCGCGAGAGCAAGCGGACCUCAUAAAGUGCGUCGUAGUCCGGAUUGGAGUCUGCAACUCGACUCCAUAAAGUCGGAAUCGCUAGUAAUCGUAGAUCAGAAUGCUACGGUGAAUACGUUCCCGGGCCUUGUACACACCGCCCGUCACACCAUGGGAGUGGGUUGCAAAAGAAGUAGGUAGCUUAACCUUCGGGAGGGCGCUUACCACUUUGUGAUUCAUGACUGGGGUGAAGUCGUAACAAGGUAACCGUAGGGGAACCUGCGGUUGGAUCACCUCCUUACCUUAAAGAA